rnacentral:misc_RNA from 1 species
AACGGUCUAUACCUGCGGUACCUGCGGAGGGAUCAUUACUGAGUGAGGGCCCCUCGGGGUCCAACCUCCCACCCGUGUUUAACGAACCUUUGUUGCUUCGGCGGGCCCGCCUCACGGCCGCCGGGGGGCUCCUGCCCCCGGGCCCGCGCCCGCCGAAGCCCCCCCUUGAACGCUGUCUGAAGUUUGCAGUCUGAGAAACUAGCUAAAUUAGUUAAAACUUUCAACAACGGAUCUCUAGAU